UACGAAGGGGGCGAGCGUUGUUCGGAAUUACUGGGCGUAAAGGGCGCGUAGGCGGCGAACCAAGUCAGAUGUGAAAGUCCUGGGCUUAACCUGGGGACUGCAUUUGAUACUGGUUUGCUUGAAUUCGGGAGAGGAUAGCGGAAUUCCCAGUGUAGAGGUGAAAUUCGUAGAUAUUGGGAGGAACACCGGUGGCGAAGGCGGCGACCUGGGUCGAGACUGACGCUGAGGCGCGAAAGCGUGGGGAGCAAACAGG
rnacentral:rRNA from 1 species